UACGGGGGGGGCAAGCGUUGUUCGGAAUUACUGGGCGUAAAGGGCUCGUAGGCGGCCAACUAAGUCGGACGUGAAAUCCCCAGGCUCAACCUGGGAACUGCGUCCGAUACUGGAUGGCUUGAAUCCGGGAGAGGGAUGCAGAAUUCCAGGUGUAGCGGUGAAAUGCGUAGAUAUCGGAAGGAACACCGGUGGCGAAAGCGGCGCGCUGGACCCCUUCUGACGCUGAGGCGCGAAAGCCAGGGGAGCAAACGGG
rnacentral:rRNA from 1 species